UACGUAGGGUGCAAGCGUUAAUCGGAAUUACUGGGCGUAAAGCGUGCGCAGGCGGUUUUGUAAGACUGUCGUGAAAUCCCCGGGCUUAACCUGGGAAUGGCGAUGGUGACUGCAAGGCUAGAGUUUGGCAGAGGGGGGUAGAAUUCCACGUGCAGCAGUGAAAUGCGUAGAUAUGUGGAGGAACACCGAUGGCGAAGGCAGCCCCCUGGGUCAAAACUGACGCUCAUGCACGAAAGCGUGGGGAGCAAACAGG
rnacentral:rRNA from 1 species